GGGGGCAUAGCUCAGGGGGAGAGCGUCUGCUUUGCAAGCAGAGGGUCGUGGGUUCAAAUCCCACUGCUUCCACCA
rnacentral:tRNA from 1 species